GAUGAACGCUGGCGGCGUGCCUAAUACAUGCAAGUCGAGCGAACGGACGAGAAGCUUGCUUCUCUGAUGUUAGCGGCGGACGGGUGAGUAACACGUGGAUAACCUACCUAUAAGACUGGGAUAACUUCGGGAAACCGGAGCUAAUACCGGAUAAUAUUUUGAACCGCAUGGUUCAAAAGUGAAAGACGGUCUUGCUGUCACUUAUAGAUGGAUCCGCGCUGCAUUAGCUAGUUGGUAAGGUAACGGCUUACCAAGGCAACGAUGCAUAGCCGACCUGAGAGGGUGAUCGGCUACACUGGAACUGAGACACGGUCCAGACUCCUACGGGAGGCAGCAGUAGGGAAUCUUCCGCAAUGGGCGGAAGCCUGACGGAGCAACGCCGCGUGAGUGAUGAAGGUCUUCGGAUCGUAAAACUCUGUUAUUAGGGAAGAACAUAUGUGUAAGUAACUGUGCACAUCUUGACGGUACCUAAUCAGAAAGCCACGGCUAACUACGUG
rnacentral:rRNA from 1 species